UGGGGAAUAUUGCACAAUGGGCGCAAGCCUGAUGCAGCCAUGCCGCGUGUAUGAAGAAGGCCUUCGGGUUGUAAAGUACUUUCAGCGAGGAGGAAGGCAUUGUGGUUAAUAACCGCAGUGAUUGACGUUACUCGCAGAAGAAGCACCGGCUAACUCCGUGCCAAGCAGCCGCGGUAAUACGGAGGGUGCAAGCGUUAAUCGGAAUUACUGGGCGUAAAGCGCACGCAGGCGGUCUGUCAAGUCGGAUGUGAAAUCCCCGGGCUCAACCUGGGAACUGCAUUCGAAACUGGCAGGCUAGAGUCUUGUAGAGGGGGUAGAAUUCCAGGUGUAGCGGUGAAAUUGCGUAGAGAUCUGGAGGAAUACCGGUGGCGAAGGCGGCCCCCUGGACAAAGACUGACGCUCAGGUGCGAAAGCGUGGGAGCAAAACA
rnacentral:rRNA from 1 species